rnacentral:tRNA from 1 species
GGGGAAUUAGCUCAGCUGGGAGAGCGCAUCGCUGGCAGCGAUGAGGUCAGGGGUUCGAACCCCCUAUUCUCCA